rnacentral:rRNA from 1 species
AUUGAACGCUGGCGGCAUGCCUUACACAUGCAAGUUGAACGGUAACAGGUCUUCGGAUGCUGACGAGUGGCGAACGGGUGAGUAAUACAUCGGAACGUGCCUAGUAGUGGGGGAUAACUACUCGAAAGAGUGGCUAAUACCGCAUGAGAUCUACGGAUGAAAGCAGGGGAUCGCAAGACCUUGUGCUACUAGAGCGGCCGAUGGCAGAUUAGGUAGUUGGUGGGAUAAAGGCUUACCAAGCCGACGAUCUGUAGCUGGUCUGAGAGGACGAUCAGCCACACUGGGACUGAGACACGGCCCAGACUCCUACGGGAGGCAGCAGUGGGGAAUUUUGGACAAUGGGCGAAAGCCUGAUCCAGCAAUGCCGCGUGCAGGAUGAAGGCCUUCGGGUUGUAAACUGCUUUUGUACGGAACGAAAAGCCCCGGGUUAAUACCCGGGGGUCAUGACGGUACCGUAAGAAUAAGCACCGGCUAACUACGUGCCAGCCGCCGCCGAA